CUUGCUGGUUUUGGGGUCAUUUCUUCCCAUUUUGGGUGGUUUUGGGGCCCUUUCUUCACGUUUUAUGUGGUUUGGGGGCCGUUUCUUCACAUUUUAUGUAGUUUUGAGGCCAUUUCUUUCUAUUUUAGGUGGUUUGGGGGCCGUUUCUUCACAUUUUGUGUAGUUUUGAGGCCGUUUCUUUACAUUUUGGGUGGUUUUGGGGUCAUUUCUUCCCGUUUUGGGCGGUUUGAGGGCCCUUUUCUCACGCUGUGGGUGUUUUUUGGGGUCCCCCAGAGACGCUGACGUGGAACAAGCCGAGCCUGAGCGGGGUGGCCCCCCUGCCCCGCAGCCUCCACUCGGCCACCACCAUCGGCAACAAGAUGUCCAUGUUUGGGGGGGUGGGUGCCCCUGG